rnacentral:rRNA from 1 species
UACGUAGGGGGCAAGCGUUGUCCGGAAUUAUUGGGCGUAAAGCGCGCGCAGGCGGCCUUGUAAGUCUGGUGUUUAACCCAUGGGCUCAACCCAUGGUCGCACCGGAAACUGCAAAGCUUGAGUGCAGAAGAGGAAAGUGGAAUUCCACGUGUAGCGGUGAAAUGCGUAGAGAUGUGGAGGAACACCAGUGGCGAAGGCGACUUUCUGGGCUGUAACUGACGCUGAGGCGC